GACUUUCAUUUGGUUGUUUAAUUUUUUUGACUUUAAUGUUGGUUUUCUCUCUCUCUAUAUAUAUAUAUAUAUAGAUAGAUUUCUUUAUUUAAAUAGUCUCCCUCUCAGAGGAUCACAGUGGAAAUAAGUUUUAUGUUUUCGUUGGUUCGCAGCCAAUCUAGCUAGCUAUAUGUUUUUUGUUGUUUUUUUUCUUUCUUUUUUAAGUCUCCCUGCCAGAGGAAAUAGUUUUUAUGUUUUACUGUGUUAUCUUCGGCAUGGUUGUGUUAUGUAUUUUGUGUUUAUAUACUUUAUAUUUACAUAUCACGAUGCUUCUUGUGAUGUUAUAAAUCUGGUCACGUGGGUUUGUUGACUUCCAGCUUGUUAAUCCAGCAUUAAUGUCCGCACAUCAUCAGACAGGGGGUUAUUCCCAUUCAAAUCCAAAUCAAUCGUUUGCACGGUUUAUUUUUCUGUAUUUUCCUGUAGCAACAGCAUCUUCAUGCCAAACACCAGUUUCUCUCGUUCUCAGCUGACAGCGCCAUUAUGACAUCUGCAUAGGCAAAGCGGUCAGGACGCGAAGUAAUACAUCAAAUGUGAAACGGUCGAAUAUUUUGCCACCGUCAAUGUGAUAUUUAUGGUUGGAAAUGUCACACGAUUAACCAAUCAGAUUUGCAGAACAAAUGUAAUUGGGUUAGAAUAGGUUUUUACAGGCGUUGCUAACUGCACCGAUCGUUCCUGAAGGGUUCAGGGAUUCAUUUCCUGAGGAGGUCUUGAUCAGAACCAAAAAGAUCUGCAGGAUUACUGCAGUUUGAAUUAAGAACUGGGUGCUGUUGGCUCACUCCUGUGUUUGUAGGAUCCAAUGCCUGUCGGGGGUACUGAGCGAUGAUCCAACCGACCCAGACUAUGUUCCUCACCUGAGAAUGGGUUACGGUGAGGAACAGGCACUGGAACAUUCAUUUAAGAAGAGAGCAAGAAGGGUACUUCGGAAAUUCAGACGCACAAUGCAGUUACUGGCUCCGGCAGAUUUGUCUCAUCCUCACUCUCAGAAGCUGUCUGUCUCCUCUGGAUCCAGUUUUGGCACAAGUGAAAAGAAUGCAGCACCUGAACAAAUGUCUUGGUUUUGAAGUACUGUAUUGACAGAUGAUGGGGUAUACUCAGCCAACUUCACUUCACUUUUCCUGUUUCUUUUCAAGAGGUGUUUGAAUUCAGACCAGAAUCAUAAUCAGAACAGCCUUGUUCACCAAGUAUCUACAAGACUAUAAGGAAUUUGACUCCAGCUUGAACUGUACUCUCUCUGUAUGAGCAUGUAUAAAUAUACACUAAACACUGAAUAAUUCACAGUAAAUAGUAUGUGCAAAUACAAUAAACCAAGCGGAGAUGGAGGUGCACAGGACAGACUGGAUGAUGGAUGUGUAGAAGAUGAUGAGUAGUUCCUGGGGCAGGUUGAACUCCUGAGCAGUUUGAUGAAGAACAUCCUCUGUUGAGCCUUUUUCCUGAUGGAGUCUAUGCGGGAAGUCCACUUCAGGGGAGUGAUGGGGAGUUUCUCCUGAAGUCCAUUAUCAUCUCCACAGUCGUGAUUGGGUUCAGCUCCAGUUUGUUCUGACCACACAAGAGGACCAACUGUCUGGCCUCGGAUUGAUCUGCAGAGCAAAAAGAACUGUAUUGUCAGAUCAUUACAGAUGAAUACACCUUUCAGUAAAAAAAAAAAAAAAAAUCUGAUAAGAAUCAGUGAGAUUACUACCCCAAUGGAUGUAGUUGUUAUGGUAUUCACAUUGAU